GUGCUUGCUUCCACAGCAUAUGUACUAAAAUUGGGAGGAUACAGAGGAGAUUAGCAUGGCCCCUUCACAGGGAUAAUUUGUGAAUUCAUGAGGUGUUCCACAUUUUU